rnacentral:rRNA from 1 species
ACGGAAGGUCCGGGCGUUAUCCGGAUUUAUUGGGUUUAAAGGGAGCGUAGGCCGGAGAUUAAGCGUGUUGUGAAAUGUAGACGCUCAACGUCUGCACUGCAGCGCGAACUGGUUUCCUUGAGUACGCACAAAGUGGGCGGAAUUCGUGGUGUAGCGGUGAAAUGCUUAGAUAUCACGAAGAAUUCCGAUUGCGAAGGCAGCUCACUGGAGCGCAACUGACGCUGAAGCUCGAAAGUGCGGGUAUCGAACAG